rnacentral:rRNA from 1 species
CCUACGGGAGGCAGCAGUGAGGAAUAUUGGUCAAUGGGCGCAAGCCUGAACCAGCCAUGCCGCGUGAAGGAUGAAGGUUCUAUGGAUUGUAAACUUCUUUUAUUUGGGAAUAAACCUCUUUACGUGUAGAGAGCUGAAGGUACCAAACGAAUAAGCACCGGCUAACUCCGUGCCAGCAGCCGCGGUAAUACGGAGGGUGCAAGCGUUAUCCGGAAUCAUUGGGUUUAAAGGGUCCGCAGGCGGAUUUAUAAGUCAGUGGUGAAAGCCUACAGCUCAACUGUAGAACUGCCAUUGAUACUGUAAGUCUUGAAUUCGGUCGAAGUGGGCGGAAUAUGACAUGUAGCGGUGAAAUGCUUAGAUAUGUCAUAGAACACCGAUAGCGAAGGCAGCUCACUAGGCCUGGAUUGACGCUCAGGGACGAAAGCGUGGGGAGCAAACAGGAUUAGAUACCCUGGUAGUCCACGCCGUAAACUAUCAAUACUCGAUAUUAGCGAUAUACCUGUUAGUGUNUAGAGAAGUAGAGUAAGUAUUAGUCACCGUCGGGAGGUACGAGUACGACGAGGUUAGUAAACGUACGAAAGGAAAGUUAGUACGGACGUAGAGACGUUACGACGACGGACGACGACGGAGGGGAGGUAGG